rnacentral:rRNA from 1 species
UACAGAGGUCCCAAGCGUUGUUCGGAUUCACUGGGCGUAAAGGGUGCGUAGGCGGCCAAGUAAGUUUGAUGUGAAAUCCCGCAGCUCAACUGCGGAACCGCAUUGAAUACUAUUUGGCUCGAGGAAUGGAGGGGAGACUGGAAUUCUCGGUGUAGCAGUGAAAUGCGUAGAUAUCGAGAGGAACACCAGUGGCGAAGGCGAGUCUCUGGACAUUUCCUGACGCUCAGGCACGAAAGCCAGGGGAGCAAACGGG